GGAAGAGAGAGAUAGAGGAAAAGAGAGAGGGGGAGAGACAUAAAUGGGAGAGAGAGAGGGAGAGAGACAAGGGGGAGACAUACGAAGAGAUGGAGAGAAACUGUAAAUAAUUGUAAUAACUAGGGAUUAAAUAGUAAUUUAUUAUUAAAUACUAACGGCCAAAAUGGACAUGAAGACUUGAGUGUGUAACGGAAGCAAAACUG
rnacentral:misc_RNA from 1 species